CAUAGGAUAGUUUAAUAAAAAUAAUAAUUUUGGAGAUUAUUGAUAAAGUAAUAACUUUUCCUUUGA
rnacentral:tRNA from 1 species